GGCUACAUCAGAUUGAAACACUGGUUCGCAUACGAUCGCUAAAGUUAAGCAACAUCGAAUCUGGUCAGAACCUAGAUGGGUGACCACUUGGAAAUACCGGGUGCUGUAAG